CCUACGGGUGGCUGCAGUCGAGAAUCAUUCACAAUGAGGGAAACCCUGAUGGUGCGACGCCGCGUGGAGGAAUGAAGGUCUUCGGAUUGUAAACCCCUGUCAUGUGGGAGCAAAUUAGAAAGAUAGUACCACAGGAGGAAGAGACUGCUAAAUCUGUGCCAGCAGCCGCGGUAGUACCGAGGUCUCAAGCGUUGUUCGGAAUCACUGGGGGUAAAGCGGGCGUUGGCUGUUUAGUAAGUCGUGUGUGAAAGGCGCGGGCUCAACCCGCGGACGGCACAUGAUACUGGGAGACUAGAGUAAUGGAGGGGGAAGCGGAAUUCUCGGUGUAGCAGUGAAAUGCGUAGAUAUCGAGAGGAACACUCGUGGCGAAGGCGGGUUCCUGGACAUUAACUGACGCUGAGGCACGAAGGCCAGGGGAGCGAAAGGGAUUAGAUACCCGAGUAGUC
rnacentral:rRNA from 1 species